GAGAGAGAGAGAGAGUUUCUAUGUGAGUAUCUUACACAAAAAUCUUAUAAGGCCAUAGAAACUUGCUAGCUGGAAGCAAGAGUGCCGAAUUGGCAAUGAUGAUGUGGAUAAUUAAUUAUUAAUUAACUGAGUGAUUAAUUAGGUAAUUAGUUAAUUAAUUAAAGUUCUACAGUUAGUUGAUGAAUUAACGUGAGACAUGCUUGCUAAGCUGCUUUUACUUGAAAAGUUAAAGGGGUAGUAAAUUAUUAAUGUGCAUGAUUUUGCUUAUGUUGUUGUGUAUAGGAGACGUUGGUACUAUAAUGAGAAAAAAUUUAUCAGUCACUGUGCAUUUUGGAUGCACAAUGAUUUUUUUAAUCAAUCAUCAGUUUUUUAUAAUUUAAAAAAUGUAAAUUUCUACAACUACGUAAUUGCCCUCAACUACCAAACGACACUCUAAUAAUGCUUAUAUAUGUCUGGGGUGAUAUGUUAAUAUAUGGAUAGAUUUUCUCAAAGUGUAGUAAGGCCAAACCUCAGGGAGGUAUUUAAAAAUUACCUAUUUAGAAAAUGAUAAUUUUGUAAUUAAAGUAGCUCUUGAAUCUUGAUGGAGAAAGGGAAUUUAAAAAAGAAAUUAUUGGGGUGCCAAUAGUCUCAUUCUUGAAUGCCUUGUCUACAAUUAUGAGAAGAAUUACUUAAAAAGACAAUUAUGAAUAUAAUUAAAUUAAAAUGUCCAAAAUAAUUUUGAGGCAAUAAAUUACCUAAUUUUACUAUCAAAGAAUAUGUUUAAAAUUUAAUUAACUCUAUUAUAAUAUUCGCCCUUUUUUCAUAAUUUUAACAAAAGUAAGUGUUAUAAAUAUAACAAAUGGGAUUUGAUGAGAGUUUUAAAUGGGUGUUAGGAAGUCAACUCAUGAACCCUAAGCCGGGCUCAUGCUGUCUUAUUCAAGGCGUCUAGACUGGGCCAGGCCCAAAUUUGAUCCACAGAACAAUCACUUUAAUACAAUCUGAUGUUUUAUUAAUGCUGAAGAGCCUAUAUUGAUACCUAAGUGCUUAAAUAACAAUUGGUCCCAACAAAAUCGUUAUUAGGUGAUCUGUUUAAAAUUAUAUUUUGAAGAAAAAAAAUGCAGGAAUCGAGUGCUAUAGCUUAUCUAAUGAUCAUAUGUGUUUAUUUAAUUCUAUAAAUUC
rnacentral:lncRNA from 1 species